GCGGCGUUAUGCCCUUGCCGUGAGGGAAAGCCCUCUUCUCCUUUCUUUUCUCUUUCUUUUAAGUUUCAUUUUUCCGGUAUUUGGUGGUGGUUUUUGAAGCAUCAGAGGCGCAUUGUUGGUCUCAUGUGGUCCAUUUGGUUUCUAGCUCCUUGGCUCAGAUCUAUGAGAACCGGAUUUGGGUCUGUGUCCUUAAACUUAACCUCGGUUCUUUUUAUGUGGAUCCACAGUGGAUUGUUAGCUUCUAUUCUGAAACGGUGUGGUGGUGGGGGUCUUUCGGUGAGCGAGUGAGACGUGGGGGUGGGGCUCGUUCCGUCACAGAACUAUUGGGUGGUUCCUGUAGAAGCCGGAAAACCGGAUCCGAUAUAAUAUAAACGAUGUUAGGAAAAAUAUAUAGAAGAUUCAAAACCAUAGCGAAAAUGAAACCAUGGAGUCGAGACAAAUCUCUUUCCUUAACUCUUAAUAUUCGCUCCGUUAGUGCGACGGAUUUGUACGAAUAUGAGUUCCAGGAUAAAACCAUGAUAGGUUAUCAUGCAGCAUUCGUGAAGAACCUCUAUGAACUAUUGAUCUACGAAACACUCUCGAAACGAUAGACAUACGCUUUGGGAUUUUUUGCUGUUGGUUCACGAUAUAAAAAAUGUUGAGAAAUGAAUGAAGAGGAGAGACGAUAUUUAAAGAGACGGAGAAGGCUCACUUCCCGCAACAGCGGUUGCACGUGGACGAGAAUUUCGCGGAGAUCGUGGGAAGUUGAGUUACGAAACUUAUUCCCCAAGACUCUCUCUUUCUUAUCUCUUAUCUCGUUUAACAAUUUCGAGAGGAUAAAAUGCAUGACGUUUUUAUUUUUUAGACAAACUACUUGUCGUUUUAAAUAAAAUUGCAUGCUGUUUUUUCCCGAAUUGAAUGGCAAGUCGUUGAGCUUAACUUGGUCCAAAAAGAAUCUUAUUGGGCCGGAAGCCCUCCACCAAGAUCCAAGCCCAAGCCCAAACUCAAGCCCACGCCCAUGCCGAGCCGAGCCGGCCGGACGGCGGCGGAGGCACGCGCGUGGAGAGCCUUUCUCUCUCUCUUUUUCCAA
rnacentral:lncRNA from 1 species